UACGUAGGGAGCAAGCGUUGUUCGGAUUUACUGGGCGUAAAGGGCGCGUAGGCGGCGCGGUAGGUCACUUGUGAAAUCUCUGAGCUUAACUCAGAACGGCCAAGUGAUACUGCAGUGCUAGAGUGCAGAAAGGGCAAUCGGAAUUCUUGGUGUAGCGGUGAAAUGCGUAGAUAUCAAGAGGAACACCUGAGGCGAAGGCGGGUUGCUAGGCUGACACUGACGCUGAGUGCGCGAAAGCCAGGGGAGCAAACGGG
rnacentral:rRNA from 1 species